rnacentral:snRNA from 1 species
GGAUAUGAGGGCAAUCUGGCUACAACAUUUGUCACCCCGUUGAUCGCCAGGGUUGAUUUGGGUGAUCUGGCUGGCGACACCCGUCCUCCCUCACUGCUCCAUGUGUGUCCCUGCUGAAGCUGCACACUUGGAGAGGAUGACCUUCCCUGAUAGAGGAGGACCGUUCUUUGGUCAAGGGUACACCAGGAGCUGGACUCGCCUGCUGGAACCUCCGAACAACCUCUCAGGUUCACUCCUUGUUUCCUCCUGGGAGUCUUGGAAACAUUCAUUACAGCCUCAGAAUUCCUGGAAGCCUGCUGU